GGCUUAAUGGUCUAGUAGCAUGAUUCCUCCUUCGGGGUUUACCUCGCUUUGAUAAUCAAAGUAUCUGGAGGAGGUCCUGGGUUCAAUUCCCAGUUAAGCCC